rnacentral:rRNA from 1 species
CGCCUUGCCAGCCCGCUCAGAAACUUAAAGGAAGUUGACGGGGGCCCGGCACAAGCGGUGGAGUAUGUGGUUUAAUUCGAUGCAACGCGAAGAACCUUACCUGGUCUUGACAUCCCGGAGACCCUUAGGAAACUAGGGGUGCUUCCAUCUGGAAGAAUCUGGAGACAGGUGCUGCAUGGCUGUCGUCAGCUCGUGUCGUGAGAUGUUGGGUUAAGUCCCGCAACGAGCGCAACCCUUGCCUUUAGUUGCCAGCAGUUCGGCUGGGCACUCUAAAGGGACUGCCGGUGUUAAACCGGAGGAAGGUGGGGAUGACGUCAAGUCCUCAUGGCCUUUAUGACCAGGGCUACACACGUACUACAAUGGCCGAUACAAAGGGCAGCGACACUGCGAGGUGAAGCCAAUCCCGUAAAAUCGGUCUCAGUCCGGAUUGGAGUCUGCAACUCGACUCCAUGAAGUUGGAAUCGCUAGUAAUCGUGGAUCAGCAUGCCACGGUGAAUACGUUCCCGGGCCUU